GAGACAGAGAACUAUCUGUGGGUUGGAGGACAUCUUCAACACUUAUCUCUUUGUUUUCAGUUAGUUUAACUGUUUCAUCAACUUUUCCUCUAAGUAGAUGCCAAGCUGAUCCUGCUUGUGUGCUGUAAUCUUGUUUUUCUACAAGUGCAAGUCUUCCAAAAAAAUCUUUUCCAAUUCUUGGUGGCCAGUCUGUAGCAACAAUAGGUAUUGAACUAAUGAGUUUAACUACAUCAGACUGACCUAUUGAUCAAGAUACAU